rnacentral:rRNA from 1 species
UACGGAGGGGGCUAGCGUUGUUCGGAAUUACUGGGCGUAAAGCGCACGUAGGCGGCUUUGUAAGUUAGAGGUGAAAGCCCAGGGCUUAACCCUGGAAUUGCCUUUAAGACUGCAUCGCUAGAAUUGUGGAGAGGUAAGUGGAAUUCCGAGUGUAGAGGUGAAAUUCGUAGAUAUUCGGAAGAACACCAGUGGCGAAGGCGGCUCACUGGACCGGUAUUGACGCUGAGGUGCGAAAGCGUGGGGAGCAAACAGG